rnacentral:rRNA from 1 species
AAAAACAUGUCCUUUUGAAUAUAUUUAAGGUCUGACCUGCCCAAUGAGGGUUUAAAUGGCCGCAGUAUUUUGACUGUGCAAAGGUAGCAUAAUUAUUAGUUUUUUAAUUGAGAGCUUGUAUGAAGGGUUGGACGAAAUAAAAUCUGUCUUUAUUUAAAUUAAGAUUGAAUUUAACUUUUAAGUCAGAAGGCUUAAAUUUAUAUAAAAGACGAGAAGACCCUAUAGAUCUUUAUUUAAUUAAAAUUUUAAUGAUUUAGGAUUAUUUUAGUUUAAAAUUUUAAUUAAAUUUUAUUGGGGUAAUAUAAAGAUUAAAAAAAUUCUUUUUAUUUAUUACAUUAAUAAAUGAGUACAUGAUCCAAUAUUAUUGAUUAUAAGAUUAAGUUACCUUAGGGAUAACAGCGUAAUUUUUUUGGAGAGCCCAUAUCGAUAAAAAAGUUUGCGACCUCGAUGUUGGAUUAAAAAUUAGCUUGG